rnacentral:snoRNA from 1 species
CUCCAUGCAUCUUUGAGACCUGUUUGCUGUGACAGUCUCCCUUCCUAGCUAUGGAAGAGCAUGUUCUUGUGUAUUGGCAAAGCUGUCACCAUUUAAUUGGUGUCAGAUUCUGACUUGCACAAGUAACAUUC